AUCUGGUGGUAUUAGUGCAGGUGGCCCAGAUACUCCCUGUACUGUGAAAGCUGGUACUAAAGUGUACGGUGGUAUGAUGAAAGGGUCAGGAUCAUAUGCUGAAAUGGAAGACCUUGAGCACAGAUUGGAACUGUCUGCUGAAUUAAGAGAAGAAACUGAAUUACCUGAAGAA